rnacentral:tRNA from 1 species
UCCCGUGUGGCUCAGUUGGUAGAGCAUGGUGUUUGCAACGCCUGGGUUCGAUUCCCACGGGGG